rnacentral:rRNA from 1 species
GAUGAACGCUGGCGGCGUGCCUAAUACAUGCAAGUCGAGCGAACGGACGAGAAGCUUGCUUCUCUGAUGUUAGCGGCGGACGGGUGAGUAACACGUGGAUAACCUACCUAUAAGACUGGGAUAACUUCGGGAAACCGGAGCUAAUACCGGAUGAUAUUUUGAACCGCAUGGUUCAAAAGUGAAAGACGGUCUUGCUGUCACUUAUAGAUGGAUCCGCGCUGCAUUAGCUAGUUGGUAAGGUAACGGCUUACCAAGGCAACGAUGCAUAGCCGACCUGAGAGGGUGAUCGGCCACACUGGAACUGAGACACGGUCCAGACUCCUACGGGAGGCAGCAGUAGGGAAUCUUCCGCAAUGGGAGAAAGCCUGACGGAGCAACGCCGCGUGAGUGAUGAAGGUCUUCGGAUCGUAAAACUCUGUUAUUAGGGAAGAACAUAUGUGUAAGUAACUGUGCACAUCUUGACGGUACCUAAUCAGAAGGCCACGGCUAACUACGUG